rnacentral:rRNA from 1 species
UACGUAGGGGGCUAGCGUUGUCCGGAUUUAUUGGGCGUAAAGAGCUCGUAGGUGGUUCGGUUAGUCGGAUGUGAAAUCUCCAGGCUCAACCUGGAGGGGUCAUUCGAUACUGCCGUGACUAGAGUUCGGAAGAGGCGAGUGGAAUUCCCGGUGUAGCGGUGAAAUGCGCAGAUAUCGGGAGGAACACCUAUGGCGAAGGCAGCUCGCUGGGACGUUACUGACGCUGAGACGCGAAAGCGUGGGGAGCAAACAGG